rnacentral:rRNA from 1 species
GACGAACGCUGGCGGCGUGCUUAACACAUGCAAGUCGAACGGAAAGGCCCUGCUUUUGUGGGGUGCUCGAGUGGCGAACGGGUGAGUAACACGUGAGUAACCUGCCCUUGACUUUGGGAUAACUUCAGGAAACUGGGGCUAAUACCGGAUAGGAGCUCCUGCUGCAUGGUGGGGGUUGGAAAGUUUCGGCGGUUGGGGAUGGACUCGCGGCUUAUCAGCUUGUUGGUGGGGUAGUGGCUUACCAAGGCUUUGACGGGUAGCCGGCCUGAGAGGGUGACCGGCCACAUUGGGACUGAGAUACGGCCCAGACUCCUACGGGAGGCAGCAGUGGGGAAUAUGGCACAACGGGCGGAAGUCUGAUGCAGCAACGCCGCGUGCGGGAUGACGGCCUUCGGGUUGUAAACCGCUUUCGCCUGUGACGAAGCGUGAGUGACGGUAAUGGGUAAAGAAGCACCGGCUAACUACGUG